rnacentral:rRNA from 1 species
GACGAACGCUGGCGGCGUGCUUAACACAUGCAAGUCGAACGGAAAGGCCCUGCUUUUGUGGGGUGCUCGAGUGGCGAACGGGUGAGUAACACGUGAGUAACCUGCCCUUGACUUUGGGAUAACUUCAGGAAACUGGGGCUAAUACCGGAUAGGAGCUCCUGCUGCAUGGUGGGGGUUGGAAAGUUUCGGCGGUUGGGGAUGGACUCGCGGCUUAUCAGCUUGUUGGUGGGGUAGUGGCUUACCAAGGCUUUGACGGGUAGCCGGCCUGAGAGGGUGACCGGCCACAUUGGGACUGAGAUACGGCCCAGACUCCUACAGGAGGCAGCAGUGGGGAAUAUUGCACAAUGGGCGGAAGCCUGAUGCAGCAACGCCGCGUGCGGGAUGACGGCCUUCGGGCUGUAAACCGCUUUCGCCUGUGACGAAGCGUGAGUGACGGUAAUGGGUAAAGAAGCACCGGCUAACUACGUG